AAUCCUAUGAUUUAGGUCCUCUGAGUCUGAAAAAAAUAUGUGUUCACUCAAUACUCAAAGGGACUUGAGAAAUGUUCUUCCCUGAACUAUACCUGGAAUACCUUGUGAUUUGGAGAAUUCAG
rfam:Pongo abelii chromosome 1 P_pygmaeus2.0.2_Contig36317.2, whole genome shotgun sequence.